rnacentral:rRNA from 1 species
AAAUUGAAGAGUUUGAUCAUGGCUCAGAUUGAACGCUGGCGGCAGGCCUAACACAUGCAAGUCGAACGGUAACAGGAAGCAGCUUGCUGCUUCGCUGACGAGUGGCGGACGGGUGAGUAAUGUCUGGGAAACUGCCUGAUGGAGGGGGAUAACUACUGGAAACGGUGGCUAAUACCGCAUAACGUCGCAAGACCAAAGAGGGGGACCUUCGGGCCUCUUGCCAUCAGAUGUGCCCAGAUGGGAUUAGCUUGUUGGUGACGCAACGGCUCAACAAGGCGCACGUCCCUA